rnacentral:rRNA from 1 species
GCCCAGACUCCUACGGGAGGCAGCAGUGAGGAAUAUUGGUCAAUGGACGCAAGUCUGAACCAGCCAUGCCGCGUGCAGGAAGACGGCUCUAUGAGUUGUAAACUGCUUUUGUACGAGGGUAAAUGCAGGUAUGUGUAUCUGUUUGAAAGUAUCGUACGAAUAAGCAUCGGCUAAUUCCGUGCCAGCAGCCGCGGUAAUACGGAAGGUCCGGGCGUUAUCCGGAUUUAUUGGGUUUAAAGGGAGCGUAGGCCGGCUUUUAAGUCAGCUGUGAAAGUCCGCGGCUCAACCGUGGAAUUGCAGUUGAAACUGGAGGCCUUGAGUGCACACAGGGAUGCCGGAAUUCAUGGUGUAGCGGUGAAAUGCUUAGAUAUCAUGAAGAACUCCGAUCGCGAAGGCAAGUGUCCGGGGUGCAACUGACGCUGAGGCUCGAAAGUGCGGGUAUCAAACAGGAUUAGAUACCCUCGUA